UAUUUCCUACAGAUAAUAAUAAAAACUUUAUUGUCAUUGUACGUGUAUAUACAGUAUCCCCAUACAACGAAAUUCACUUAACACCCAAAGACCAGGUCCAACACACAUAAACAAUCCCCAAACACACUCCCACCCAUCACAAUUACCCACCCCUAAACCACCCAAACAUUCACACAACAGACCAAAUAAUGCUGUCCAAUAGUUCACUGAUGGUGGCCCUUUAGUUCAUUGUUGAUUGCAAUUAUAGCUCCUGGAUAAAAACUAUUCAGAAAACGUGUGGUCCGAGUUUGUUCUGUAUCUUCUGCCAGAAGGCAACAGUCCAAAAAGAUUGUAAGCAGGAUGGGAAGAUAGGCCUGUGCAACAUAAUUGUGUCAUGACAUUUGAUGUAAACCCUAUGUGCCAUCUUUUUUGCAGCAGCUAUUUGGUGAAUUGUUUCUUCAGCUUCUUUGUUUUUGCUCUUCUGUUGCUGUUUUCUUAACUCUGGUUUUGUAUGCAUUUGUUCUUCCAGCUUGGUCUUGUGCAAUCAGAAUUGGCCCCUCUAUUAUUAUGGCAUGAAAGACAUUUUCUAAAUCACAUGGGAUGAAACAAUCAGGUUUCAAGAAAGCAGAAGGAUCACAUGGAAAAAUCUUCUAAUUUUAAGGUUCCCUGUCAUGGGAUGUUUCUACCGUAUAAGUUUCCAGGGACAGUGCUUUAAUCCGUCCUCAGUACUACAAAAUAAUGAGCUGAUCCUGAAGAUAUCUUCUGUUCUUCAUAAUUGUAUCCUUCAUUUCAUGUAUUUAUCUAAAGGUUGUGCCAAAUUAUGUAUGGAGUGUGGCUGUUUCUUUAAGCCAACCUUUCUUAACUGGACCUGUAGGACCCUGGAGUUCCACAAGAAGUCAGAAGUAGUUUUAUGAGAGAUUUUGAUAGAAAAACAUCCCCAUUUUUAAAACUUUGCACUUUGACAAUUAUUAUUGGAUGAUUACAUCCACGACUUAAAAUGAUCACAUUAAUGUACUGUGAACUGUAGAUAUUUUUUAUGCAGGAUUUUCCUGCGAUCUGAAAAUUUAUAUCAAAGGGUAAAAAGAUCAAGCAGUCUACUUUAAGCUAAUACAAUUGGAAUACACCAAAUGUUCCAAGAGGGAGGGUUAGGGUUUAGUGAUGGAUAGCUAUUUAAAGUGUAACAGCUACAUAACAAUUUUGAUAGUCUAAUUUUUUACAUUACAUCAACAAGAGAUGUAAUAACUUUGUAAGGUUUUACAAAGAUAUUACAUACCUUGGAUUAUUUAUAGAAAUAUCCUUUUUCAUUUUGAAAAAGUUUUGAUUUCCUAACUCAAAGCAGCAAUUGUGAGUUACCAUCCCUCCCAUUCUUUCAAAGCUUGGCUUUCUCCAGGUCAGGCAGCACUGUGCAGUAAUUUCACCUGCCCUAACAAGGGUGAACAACUGUGGAAGAGUUAUCUUUCCCCACCUGCAUUUCAAAGAAUAAGACCUUUUUUUUCUCCAUGCGUCACAGAAUUUACAUACCUUAUAGGUAACCUCCAGCAAUGCAUAGCAAGGGGUAUCUGUAUCCACAUCCACAGGGUCAAGGAGUCUGGGUUCAGCUGCCAGGACAUACAGAUGCCUCAGGGCUUGAAGGUGAUACCUGUGCAGGAAAGAAAUAAUCUAGGCUGUCUCUUUCUGCACGAACCCAUCCAUCUGUCACGAAUAGCCAAAGAUCCAUUUAAAUAUCUUUUCCCUCCUACAUUUGGAAAGAUGUGGUCUCGAUUCUGUGAAACUCUUUUUUCAAACUGAUGCAGAUUUCAUAGUUAUUGAGAAAAGGAAUAUGCUCUGGAGACCCUUGAGAAGUUAUCAAAGAUAAAUUUGGAAUUAAAACAUAUGAAAUUAGAAUUUGUAGAUUUGUAUGGGUGCAGGCAUAUAUACACACCACAAAGAUUUCUGAGUUGUAACGUUUCUUUUUCCUAUGAGAGGGAGAGAGAGAACGAGAACACAUUUGUUCCUUAGCCAGAGGAUAAUUGUGCCGGCAUGGAGACUGAUUAGACCUUCAGUUUCAUAUAACUGAAAUAAAAUAUAUGCUUCAUUCCUUUACCUAGAAAGAUUCAUUUUAAAAAACCUAUAAAGCUUUUCACAAAACUGUUGUGGUUUUAGUGCAUUAGUAUUUAUAGACUGCAGAGGCUGGGUAUUUACCCAGAGUCAUCCUAUGAUAAGAUGUGUAGACAGACAGAUUUAAUUGAAUUUUGGAGUUGGUCAAUAUCAUUGGCCAGUCUGGCACUCAGAAGUUCAAUGUGAUUAUUCCGACAGUAGAACUUUAUUGUCAUCAGUUUAGAUUCUGUCUUCCUUUGCAUGGUGCAUAUGGAAAAAAGUAAAACGUUUCUAAUUCCAUGAUGUUUUACAGCUUUUUCAUAUUUCCUCUUCCUUCCACAAUCUGUCCCAAGUCUUCUUUACACGGUGAAAAUUAUUCCAUUUAUUAUACAAUAUUAAAUAAAUGUGGAAUUGGGCAGCCAAUAAAUUUAAAUAAUUGAAGACCCAGCAGCAAUAUCAAAAUGUUAGGCUUUCUCUAGAUCUCUGCAAUUACUACAUAAACAUUUCAAGAUUUCUUUGUUUUUAAUAAAUUUGUAUGCACUAGACAUUACAAGCUGAAAACCUGUUUCCCAAAUGACCAACAUUAUCAGACUAAACUAUUUCUACCAUUAAAUUUUAAAUGUAUUUCCUAAUCAGGUCCUUUUACCUGUUAUCAGUACUGUGAACUGGGAAAUGAGGGUAGAGUGCACAAAGAAGAGCAGCAAUUGAUGAAUUUGAAGUGCUAAGUGAAUAUCUGCAAAGAAACAAUAUUUUCCCAUGAGUCAAUAAAAAGCAUUUCCUUGUCAAGCCAAAAUAUGAUCCCAAUUUAUAAUGACCGUAAUAUCAGUUCUAUGCCAAAGAAAGGUUACAAAGAGCUACAAGACUACUCAGUCAUAUUGCCAAGUUAAUUUAAUGGGCAUUCCAGAAAAAAAGUUUGUCAGCCCUAUUAGCCAACAGCUUUUAGAUGGAGAUGACAGGGAUUUCAUUCAAAAUUUGCAAGCAAAAUAUGCUGUUUUUACAUGGACAGAUGGAAGAAUAGCUCAAUCCUGAUUGGCUUGCUUUUUAAAAUUUAUUAUAUGCCAUCAAGUCAUUGUCAGUUCUUAUCAACCAAGUAUGUUUUUCUUUAUGAUUGACUCGCUUUAGUUAAACAUAUUUACAGAAACAUAUUCUGCAUAUUUUAUUUUUCUUGUAGGAAAUUAGCUUUUGAAAGAAAUUGAAAUUACUACAGAAAGAUGGAUGGAAAGACUUAGAUCAUCAAACCUAAGCUUCUGUGUCACUGUAAUAUCACUCAGUCCUGCUCUUUAGUCUAGUUUUUUUUUUUUUUACAUAAUAAUUUAUAUCCUAUCUUUCUUGUACCCAUACUUAUGAUUACGCAGCAUGAUGAUAAACAAUAAAACCAAUACAAGGGGAUGUGGUUUUUAAAAGUUACCAAGAAGAAUUAUACCAUAAAGGUGAGAAAGUAGAACACAUAAAUAUCUGAUACAAUUUAUACAUAAUCUUAUUAAGUCAAGUCUUAAUAAAGCAGUGAAAAACCAUUGGGGAAAGUGCCAUUACUGAAAAUGCUCUUAUGAGAUCCUUUCAAUGCUUUCAUAUUUUUGUUCGUCCUUGAACAAAACAACCUGGUAGUACAGUGGACUAAAGCAUUGUUAUUAACAUCUGCUGCUUGCAAUUACUGCAAGUUCAAAUCUCACCAGGCUCAAGGUUGACUCAGCCUUCCAUCCUUUCAAAGGUAGGUAAAAUGAGGACCCAGAUUGUGGGGGCAAUAAGCUGACUUUGUACAAAUAUACAAAAGUAUGAAGGCUAUUGCUUAACGCAUUGUAAGCCGCCCUGAGUCUCCGGAGAAGGGCGGCAUAUAAAUUAAAGCAAAAAAAAAAAAAAAAACCAAUCUAAAGACUGGUGUUCUCGAUUAUCCUAAAUUCAUAUAACUAAGCAAUACUGUGGACAAAAGAUAUAUCCUUCCUUGCAGCCUCUCUGUAUACCAAGGUUAAUCGCAAAGAGAUCUUAGAUUCUUCAGGGAGUUGUUUUGUUUUGCUUUGGUUUUUUUGCAUUCUGGAUGUUUAUAUGCAUGGAAAUAUAAAGGAUUAAGGAGCAGAAGAUUCUUUUUCAGAUCACAGAUUACCUUCCUCCUCCCAGAAAGAGGAGUCCCAGAGCCAUAUGGUGUGCCAUGUGGAAUCCAUAGUUCAUUUCUCCACCGGUCUUCUUGUGUAGGAAACGACAGAGCUGAAGAACCUUCAGGUUCCCAGAUCCUGCCAUCACCAUUGCAAGGGAAAGCAACACCACACUCAGACAAGUCUCUAGGUUAUAGUGCCCAGCCUAAGAAAUAUGGAAGAGAUUGUUUUUUUUAUACCUACUUUUGCACAUUCUAAAUAUGCUUCUAAGCUGGCAAGAUUGCCAUCUUUAGAGAAACUAAUUUUAGCAAAUGACAGACUAUAUAAAGCGCACCAACUUCCGCAAUACUUACUUUGAAAAAAAAGUCAUUUAUACCAAUAAUAAGCAACCCACAUCCUGUACAUAGGCACCCAAACCCGGUGCCCAGGAUCACUCCCAUCAUUAUUCAAUGAGAAAAUACUGAUUUUAAUGGUCAGGUUUUGUUCUUUUGCGGGCACAAAUCCAGCUUUGUAUUAAAUGUUAAAAGUUCUUCCCCAUCACCUAAACACUGAAAGAAACAAGAUGAAAAUCUAUCCCCCCUCC